rnacentral:rRNA from 1 species
AGGGUUUGAUCCUGGCUCAGAAUCAACGCUGGCGGCGUGCCUCAGACAUGCAAGUCGAACGAUUAAAGCUCUCUUCGGAGAGUGCAUAGAGUGGCGCACGGGUGAGUAACACGUAAGUAAUCUACCCUCGAGUGGGGAAUAACGUCCGGAAACGGACGCUAAUACCGCAUAAUGCAGCGGCACCGCAAGGUGACAGUUGUUAAAGAUUUAUCGCUUGAGGAGGAGCUUGCGGCAGAUUAGCUAGUUGGUAAGGUAAUGGCUUACCAAGGCUACGAUCUGUAACCGGUCUUAGAGGACGGUCGGUCACACUGACACUGAAUAACGGGUCAGACUCCUACGGGAGGCAGCAGUCGGGAAUUUUGGGCAAUGGGCGAAAGCCUGACCCAGCAACGCCGCGUGAAGGAUGAAGUAUUUCGGUAUGUAAACUUCGAAAGAAUGGGAAGAAUAAAUGACGGUACCAUUUAUAAGGUCCGGCUAACUACGUGCCAGCAGCCGCGGUAAUACGUAGGGACCAAGCGUUGUUCGGAUUUACUGGGCGUAAAGGGCGCGUAGGCGGCAUAUUAAGUCAGCUGUGAAAUCUCCGAGCUUAACUCGGAACGGUCAGCUGAUACUGAUGUGCUAGAGUGCAGAAGGGGCAAUCGGAAUUCUUGGUGUAGCGGUGAAAUGCGUAGAUAUCAAGAGGAACACCUGAGGUGAAGACGGGUUGCUGGGCUGACACUGACGCUGAGGCGCGAAAGCCAGGGGAGCAAACGGGAUUAGAUACCCCGGUAGUCCUGGCCCUAAACGAUGAAUACUUGGUGUCUGGAGUAAUUUGUGCUCCGGGU